rnacentral:rRNA from 1 species
AUGAACGCUGGCGGCGUGCCUAAUACAUGCAAGUCGAGCGAACAGACGAGGAGCUUGCUCCUCUGACGUUAGCGGCGGACGGGUGAGUAACACGUGGAUAACCUACCUAUAAGACUGGGAUAACUUCGGGAAACCGGAGCUAAUACCGGAUAAUAUAUUGAACCGCAUGGUUCAAUAGUGAAAGACGGUUUUGCUGUCACUUAUAGAUGGAUCCGCGCCGCAUUAGCUAGUUGGUAAGGUAACGGCUUACCAAGGCAACGAUGCGUAGCCGACCUGAGAGGGUGAUCGGCCACACUGGAACUGAGACACGGUCCAGACUCCUACGGGAGGCAGCAGUAGGGAAUCUUCCGCAAUGGGCGAAAGCUUGACGGAGCAACGCCGCGUGAGUGAUGAAGGUCUUCGGAUCGUAAAACUCUGUUAUUAGGGAAGAACAAAUGUGUAAGUAACUAUGCACGUCUUGACGGUACCUGAUCAGAAAGCCACGGCUAACUACGUG